GACGAACGCUGGCGGCGUGCUUAAUACAUGCAAGUCAACUUGACUUUAGAUAGCAAUAUCGAAAAGUAGGGUGGCGCACGGGUGCGUAACGCGUAGGUAAUCUGCCCUGAGGUCUGACAUAACCCGUCGAAAGGCGGGCUAACAUCAGAUGAUAUAUAAUCACGACAUCGUGGAAAUAUCAAAUCUUCGGAGCCUUGGGAUGAGCCUGCGUCUGAUUAGGUAGUUGGCGGAGUAAUAGCCCACCAAGCCUACGAUCAGUAGCUGGUCUGAGAGGAUGAUCAGCCACACUGGAACUGAGACACGGUCCAGACUCCUACGGGAGGCAGCAGUAAGGAAUAUUGCUCAAUGGAGGAAACCCUGAAGCAGCAACGCCGCGUGAAGGAUGAAAUACUUUGUAUGUAAACUUCU
rnacentral:rRNA from 1 species